UCUGUUUCUCCUUGAUCCCCGGAGAGAUUCACAGGGAAUUUUGCCCUAUUGAAGAAAUCAACACAAUAAAAUCCCUGAUGGAGGUUGCUAGGUCAUCAGAUGUAUUAUAGUCUUUGAAGUCUAAAGAUGGAGAUAAAUGAGAACUUGACAGAAAAAAAAGGAAAACUCCGUGAUAUUUGAAGGCCAUUUAUGUUCUCUUGUUCAUUACAUGGAUGACUCUGUGAAGGUCUCAGCUUCUUCUUCUGGGCAUACAGUCUUAUUAGGGUUGGGUCCAUGUAACAAGGUGAUCCAGCUGUUUUAAAAGGCUGCUUAUAAUUCAAAGCUGAUUCAAAAAAGUUACCAAAUGGUUUUGAAAAUGUGCUGGAAACUUUGGGCAGAGCUACAAGUGCAAAGGCAAAACUGCUUCAUAUUAAGUGACAUACAGACAUAAACAAGGCACACAUCAUUCAUCAGGAGUUUUCUAAGUGAGGCAACAGAUUUUUCACCUUCCCUUUUCAUCUUCAAUCAGUUG